rnacentral:rRNA from 1 species
UACGUAGGGUGCAAGCGUUGUCCGGAAUUAUUGGGCGUAAAGAGCGUGUGGGCGGCCCGGUUAGUCCGCUGUGAAAGUCCAGGGCUCAACCCUGGAAUGCCGGUGGAUACUGUCGGGCUAGAGUCCGGAAGGGGCGAGUGGAAUUCCUGGUGUAGCGGUGAAAUGCGCAGAUAUCAGGAGGAACACCAAUGGCGAAGGCAGCUCGCUGGGACGUGACUGACGCUGAGACGCGAAAGCGUGGGGAGCAAACAGG